CGCGAAGAACCUUACCUGGUCUUGACAUCCACAGAAGAAUCCAGAGAUGGAUUUGUGCCUUCGGGAACUGUGAGACAGGUGCUGCAUGGCUGUCGUCAGCUCGUGUUGUGAAAUGUUGGGUUAAGUCCCGCAACGAGCGCAACCCUUAUCCUUUGUUGCCAGCGGUCCGGCCGGGAACUCAAAGGAGACUGCCAGUGAUAAACUGGAGGAAGGUGGGGAUGACGUCAAGUCAUCAUGGCCCUUACGACCAGGGCUACACACGUGCUACAAUGGCGCAUACAAAGAGAAGCGACCUCGCGAGAGCAAGCGGACCUCAUAAAGUGCGUCGUAGUCCGGAUUGGAGUCUGCAACUCGACUCCAUGAAGUCGGAAUCGCUAGUAAUCGUGGAUCAGAAUGCCACGGUGAAUACGUUCCCGGGCCUUGUACACACCGCCCGUCACACCAUGGGAGUGGGUUGCAAAAGAAGUAGGUAGCUUAACCUUCGGGAGGGCGCUUACCACUUUGUGAUUCAUGACUGGGGUGAAGUCGUAACAAGGUAACCGUAGGGGAACCUGC
rnacentral:rRNA from 1 species